rnacentral:rRNA from 1 species
CAGUCGCCGCGGUAACACGUAGGGUGCAAGCGUUAAUCGGAAUUACUGGGCGUAAAGCGUGCGCAGGCGGUUAUAUAAGUCAGAUGUGAAAUCCCCGGGCUCAACCUGGGAACUGCAUUUGAGACUGUAUGGCUAGAGUGUGUCAGAGGGGGGUAGAACUCCACGUGUGGCAGUGAAAUGCGUAGAUAUGUGGAGGAAUACCGAUGGCGAAGGCAGCCCCCUGGGAUAACACUGACGCUCAUGCACGAAAGCGUGGGGAGCAAACAGGAUUAGAUACCCGAGUAGUCCCUGUCUCUUAUAC